rnacentral:rRNA from 1 species
UACGGAGGGUGCGAGCGUUGUCCGGAAUCACUGGGCGUAAAGGGCGCGUAGGCGGCUGGGAAGUCGGUGGUGAAAGCUCGUGGCUCAACUACGAGUCGGCCAACGAUACUCCUCGGCUCGAGCACUGUAGAGGCAGGUGGAAUUCCGGGUGUAGCGGUGGAAUGCGUAGAGAUCCGGAAGAACACCGGUGGCGAAGGCGGCCUGCUGGGCAGUAGCUGACGCUGAGGCGCGACAGCGUGGGGAGCAAACAGG